rnacentral:pre_miRNA from 1 species
AGGGGGAACAACCACAGUUGCGUUGGCCAGCUCUGGAGCCCUGGAUUCAGCUCCUGCAGUAACUAUGGAGCUCAGUCUGCAGGGGCCUGGAUGCUCCGGGGGCGG